GACAGAGGGUGCGAACGUUGUUCGGAAUUACUGGGCGUAAAGCGCAUGUAGGCGGCAGCGCAAGUCGGGCGUGAAAUCCCACGGCUCAACCGUGGAAGUGCACUCGAAACUGCGCAGCUAGAGUCCUGGAGAGGAAGGUGGAAUGCUUGGUGUAGAGGUGAAAUUCGUAGAUAUCAAGCGGAACACCGGUGGCGAAGGCGGCCUCUGGACAGUGUACUGACGGCUGAGAUGCGAAAGCGUGGGGAGCAAAC
rnacentral:rRNA from 1 species